UACAAGAAAAAUUGUUUUAAUGGUAUUAUCCACAAGGGAGUGAAUCCAGAAAGAAAAAUUAUGAAAUUUAAGAUAUGCUUUAAGGUGAUUUUCACAUUGAUUAAAAUCAUUAACUCAUCUUAACAAAACAAAUAUUUGUCCCACAACAAUUUAACAACACCCACAAAACUGAAUAAUUCGAGCUCUUGUAUGUCUGUAAGUCAUUUCUAGAAUUGAAUUAUUCAUCAGAUAAGAUUUAAAAUGAAGCAACAUAAACACUCUGUUGUCCAGGCCUUUAAAAAGAACGGUAAACUGCUCUUCUACUGCUCAUAUUCAUCCUAUGGACACAAAAUACAAUGGUGAAUUUUUAAAUAAGACAUUUUCUUUAUUUAUGGCUACUGUCAAGCAUAUAUAAGAAAAUAAGAGCUGGCAAAAAUUAGAUCAGAUGUGGCUCAGUCAACUCAGCAUUUUAUCUAAUGAAGAUGAUCCUAAAGAUCGAUUCCUAAGAAAACAUGCUAGUUGUCCUUGAUAGAAUAGAUCUUAAAAUGUUCAAGACGUAGGGGCCGGCCCCGUGGUUAAGUUCCCACGCUCUGCUUCAGCAGCCCAGGGUUCAGAUCCUGGGCACAGACACGGCGCCGCUCAUUAGGCCAUGUUGAGGCAGCGUCCCACAUGCCACAACUAGAAGGACCCGCAACUAAAAUAUACAACUAUGUACUGGGGGGAUUUGGGGAGAAAAAAAAGCAGGAAAAAAAAAAGAAUAUUGGCAAUAGUCAGGUGCCAAUCUUUAAAAAAAAAAAAAAAGUUCAAGAGGUAGCACAAAAUACCACCACCCCUCCUUUUUGUUUAAUAAAAGCUGUUUAUCUUAUUGCUCAUUCCUUAAUCUGAAGAAAAGAACUGCUUAUGGACAGUGGAUGAAACACAAGUGUUUACCUUGUACAAACCCUUCUAAAAUGACAAUAAAGGCACAUGCCUUCAGUAAUGAAUAGAAUGAGAGAGAAGAUAACAGCAAUAAAAUUUGGAAAGUUGGAUAACAAGUAUCUAUUUUAGCAGACUUGACAUCUUAUCACACAGAUUUCAGGCCUCAUUAUACCUUUUCCUUUUUUUAGUUAAAAAAAAAUUACAUGAGGGGCCGACCUGGUGGUGUAGUGGUUAAGUCUGUGUGCUCCGCUUCAGAGGCCCAGCGUUUACUGGCUGGAUUCCAGGCACAAACCCACACACCAGUCCUCAAGUCAAGGAAGAUUGGCACAGAUGUUAACUCAGGGCCAAUCUUCCUCACACACACACACAUAAAAUUACAUGUAUAUUUGCUAAUUGUGAAAAACUCAAUACUCUGGGUAUAAGCUGGACAGUAUAGAGUUUUGAACAGUGUUCUUUUCUUGCUAUGACUGAAGUUUGCAUCUGCUUCUCUUUUGUAACCCAGAUCACACUGACUCUUAGUUAAGCUUGUGGUCCUUUACCUAAGAAUUGCUCCUACAUCAGAUGUUCCCCAUCCUGCACCAACUAAACUAAGCAUAGGAUUCUAUACAUCUGCCCACUUUAAAUGUUACCUGUUGGGGAUGGUGCUUUAGGUAUCUUGGAUACUAAUCCUUUCAAAUAUAAACACACACACACCUAAACACACCCACAUGUGUCUUCUGGACUGUGGCUGUCUUUCCUCUGUUUAUGGUGCUUUUGUAUAAAGAGGCUUUUAAUUUUAAUGUAGUAAAAUUAAUUGAUCUUUUUCUUUAAAGUUUGUGCUCUUUGUGGUUGGUUUAUGAACAGCUUCCUCAUCUUGAAUUCAAAUUUUUAAGGUUUAUUUCUUUUUUUUUCUCAUUCAGGUCUUAAUUCUUUUUGCCUUAAAAUGCAUCAGAUAGCUUUCUUUCAGUUAGUAUUUGCCUGCUGUAUCUUUUCCUAUACUUUUACUUUGAAAUAUUAUUUAUUUUUUUAAAUAAAAAUUUUAUAUAUUACAUGUAUCUGUUGCAAACAGUAUAUACUGUUUUUUAAUAUAAUAAGUAAAUAUGUUUUUAAACUAGUGAGUUUAAUCCAUUUAUCCUGAUUAUCAUGACUACUGAUAUAUUUGGGUUUUCCAUCACCUUAUUUUUUUGUUUUUUAGACUUCUUUGCCAUGCCUCUUCCCCCUCACUUCCUGCCCUCUUUCUGAUUACUGGGUUUUCUUUAUUCCCUCUUUCUCCUUAUUUAGUUUCAAACUUUUAAAAUUUGUUAUUUCCACUUUUAAAAAUUGUUACCCUUAAUAAUUUAUUAUGCAUACUUAACUUACCAAGUCCAAAAUUAUGGUGCUUUAUGGUUUUUGAAUUUUACGUUUUGCCUAGGGAGGCUAUUAUGAAGAGUAAAAAUAGUUUUAUUUUCUUGUAGUACUUUUAUAAUUUUUUUUGUGAGGAAGAUUAGCCCUGAGCUAACAUCCAUGCCCAUCUUCCUCCACUUUAUAUGUGGGACGCCUACCACAGCAUGGCUUGCCAAGCGGUGCCAUGUUCACAGCCGGGAUCCAAACCAGCGAACCCUGGGCUGCUGAAGCAGAACAUGCGCACUUAACUGCUGUGCCACUGGGCCGGCCCCAGCACUUUUAUAAUUUUUAUUUGUACAUUUUGAUUGUUAAUUCAUCUACAAUUCUUUCUGUAUAGGGUCUCGAGGAGGAAAUCUACCUUUAUUUUCCAAACAGAUAGCUAAUGGUCUCAACACCUCUUAUGUUGUCCAUCUUUUCCCCGUUGAUUUAAAAUAGAACCUUUAUCAUUGAGUCCAUUUAAAGAUGGGUCUAUAUCUGUACAUCCUACUUUAUACCAAUCUGUCUUUCCCUUGCAUUUACCAAACGAUCUUAAUUACUCUUGAUAGUCUAAUAUCUGACAAAGCAAGUCCUUCCAGCUCCAUUUGCUACACAUUGCUCUUUAAAAGAAAAAAAUUUCUUAAUUGUCUUUUCUUGUCUAUAGUCUCUCUUCAUAUAGUCAAGUCCCUAGCCUCCCAAGAAUUCCCAUUGAAGUUUUGAUUGAGAUUACUUUGAACUUAGAGAUUAAUAAGAGAGACUGACAUCAUUAUAACAUUGAAUUUUCCCAUCCAAGAUUAUAAAUCUCUUCAUUUAUUCAAAAUGUUUUAAACUGUCUUUCAGAAAAUAUUUACAAUUUUUUUCAUUUAAGUCACACAUUUCUUGAUGGGUUUCUACUUUUGCUAUCCUUAUAAAUAAGUUUUUCCAUUACAUUUUUUCAUUAGUUAUUGCUUGCAUACAUGAAGAUGUUGAUUUUGUUUAUCUUAUACUGAGCCAUUUUAUUGUACUCUCUUAUUAAUUCUAAUUAGUGUUUCAUUGGUUGUCUUAGAUUAUCUAAACAGGCAUUCAUAUUGCCUGUAUAUGAUUUUUGUCUCCUCCUUUGCAGUAUUUACCUCUUUAUCUAUUUUCUUCUACAUCGGCUAAGACCUCUAGAAUACUGCUGAAUAGCAGCAAUUAUAGCAGGCAUUCUUGUCUUCCUCAUGAAAAGGCUUCUAAUAAAGUAUGAUGUUCAAUUAAGUGUUUUAAUAGAUCGCCCUCAUCAAAUUAAGGCAAUUUGUUUCUUUCUUUCUUUCUUUCUUUUUUUAAAGCUGCAGUGCAUGGUUGUAUAUCCUAGUUGGUAGUUUAGUUCUCUAUGUGAGCUCCCGCCACAGUAUGACAACUGACAGACAGGUAGUGUGCUUCCACAACCAGAAAAGGAAACUGGGCGGUGGCAGUGGGAGAACUGAAUCUUAACCCACUAGACCACCAGGGCUGGCUCUAAGGCAAUUUCUUUCUUUUUCCUAGUUUAUAGUAGCUUUCAUCAGGAAUGGGAGUUGAACUUUAUCAAAAGUUUUCUCAGCAUCUUACAAGAUUAUCUUUUUAUUCUUUAGUCUCUCAGUGUAGUGAACAUAUUCCCUAAUGUAAAACACUUGCAUUACUGGAAUUAAUACUACUUAGUCAAUUCAAUUCACUCAACAACAAUUUAUGAACCUAACACAGGUCAACCACUUUUCUGGGCACUUGGCAUGUAUUAGGGAACCAACAAUGAUUCCUCAUGGAGCUAUAGUCUAGCAGAUGUCUAUGAUCUAUUUUUCUUUUAACCCAUUGCUGAAUUUAUUUAUUUUUUACCUUUGAGGAAGGUUAGCCCUGAGCUAACAUCUGCUGCCAAUCCUCCUCUUUUUGCUGAGGAAGACUGGCCCUGAGCUAACAUCCAUAUCCAUCUUUCUCUACUUUAUAUGUGGGACACCUGCCAUAGCACGGCUUGACAAGCAGUGCGUAGGUCCACACCCAGGAUCUGAACUGGUAAACCCAGGCCACCAAAGCAGAACAUGUGAACUUAACCACUGCACCACCAGGCUGGCCCCCAUUGUUGAAUUUAAAUUGCUAAUAUUUGAUUUAGUAUUUUUAUGUUUACAGUUAUAAUGAGAUGGACGUAAGUUUUUCUUCUUUGUGCUAAUCUCUGCUUUCCUUGUCAAGGUUAGGUUAACCUUGUAGAAAUAUAUUGCAAGUGUUUUGUUAUUUUCCAUGCUAUAGGAAUGUAGAAGUAACAGAUGAUAAAGAUUUUGUAUAACUUGCCCAUAAAAUCUAGACCUGGGGUCUUUCCUUUUCCUUUAAAAAAAUGUUUUUAAUUGUAAAAAAUACAUAAAAUUUACCAUCUUAACCAUCUUUAAGUGUAUAGUUCAGCAGAGUUAAGUAUAUGCACGUUGUUGUGCUCUUUUCCUUUUUAAAUACAUUUCUGUUGCUACCUUUUCAAUUGCCUCUACGGUUAUUGGGCUGUUAGAGUCUCUACCUCUUUGAGUGAAUUUUGGUUUGCCUUUCCUAGAAAUUCCUGUUUCACUUAGAUUUUAAAUUUAUUGCUAUAAAGUAGUACACAAUACAUUUUUAUGCUUUGUAAAUCUUCACUAUUUCUGCGAUUAUGUCCCCUUUUCAUUCCCAAUGUUGUUUUUUUGUAUUUUCUCUCCUUCCCCAUCUUUCUCUUUUUAUCAGAUGUACCAAAGAUGUGUCUGUUUUAUUGAUCUUUCAAGAAAUCAGCUUUUGGAUCUACUAAUCAAGUAUACUUUUUAUUGUUUGUUUCAACUUCCUUACCUCUUUUAAUUCCAUCCUUUUGCCUUUUUUAGAGUUGAUGUUCUUCGUCUAACUUAUUGAGUUUAAUAUUUGGUUCAUUGAUUUUCAAUCUUUCAUGUUUUCUAAGUGCAUUUCUAAAGCUGUACAUUUUCUUUUUAAUACUCCUUUCUGUAUACUAUAGGUUUUGCUAUAUAAUGUUCUCAGUAUUGUCUUUCAUUUCAGUUUUGAUUUUCUUUUAACCCAAAGCUAUUUGCAAGUGUUCUUUUUACCAUACAAGCAAAUCAUUAUUCUUUUUGGUUACUUGUUGGCAGUAUAUAUUCUUUUCCCCUCCCCUCACACUCAUUCCCGCACAGAGAACCAGUCCCCCACUUGAGGGCAGACUACUCCCAAGAUGGGCCUCACCCAGUGGGCUGAAGAUCAGCAUGCCCUCUCUAGCCUGUGGUCCCACACUCACUGCACCCUGCUCUGCCAUGUAAGGGUCAUUUUACACAUUUGUCUUUCUCACCAGCUGAGGCCUUUUGGUAAGGAAUUCGGAGAUCUGUUAAUACUACAUUUUGAAACAGUAUUUCUCAAAGGGAGGUCCAGAGACCUUGUGCAUCAGAAUCACCAGGUGGUACAAAUUAAAAGUAUAGCUCCCAGAGCCCCUUUAAGAUCUAUUAAGUCAGAAUCUCCAGGGGUGGAGGUCCAGGAAUCGCCUUUUUUCUUUUUUUUUUGCAGGGAAGGAUUCACCCUGAGCUCACAUCUCUUGCCAAUCUUCCUCUCUUUUUUCUUCUCCCCAAAGCCCCAGUACAUCAUUGUAGAUUCUAGUUGUAAGCCCUUCUAGGUCUUCUGUGUGAGGGUCUGCCACAGCAUGGCAACUGACAGACAGGUGGUGCGGUCCCACAACUGGAACUGAACCGGGCUGCUGAAGCAGAGCAAGGAACUUUAACCACUAGGCCAUCAGGAAUGGCUCUGUGGUUUUUAUCUAAUGAACAGUAUUGACAGUUCUAUUAAAAUAGUAUUUCUGUUAAACACCGCUUUUCAACAUGUAGGGCUUUUUUAAUAUCAUUUGAGGAAAACAUUUAGUUUCAGUCCUUUUUAGGCACUCUUUUUAACUGCUUUUUCUAUGUGAGCCACCACCACAGCACAACAACUGACAGACAAGUGAUGUGGUUCUGUGACCAGGAAACGAACCCAGCCACAGAAGUGGGGAGAGCACCGAACUUUAACCACUAGACCAUCGGGGCUGGCUUGUGGGAAUCUCCAUUUUAACAAGCACCCCAGGGGCUGGCCUGGCAGCAUCGUGGUUAAGUUUAUGCAGUCUGCUUCGCUGGCCCAGGGUUCGCAGGUUUGGAUCCCAGGUAUGAACCCACACACCACUUAUUAAGCCAUGCUGCAGCAGCAUCCCAUAUACACAGUAGAAGAUUGGCAUGGAUAUUAGCUCAGGGAGUAUCUUUCUCAAGCAAAAAGAGGAAGAUUGGCAACAAAUGUUAGCUCAGGGCCAAUCUCCCUCACAAAAGAAAGAAAGAAACAAGCACCCCAGGUGAGUCUAUUCCAGCAUAGAGAAGUUUGACGACUAUUGCUCUACAUGAUACUCUGAUAAGCUUCACUUAGUUCAGAGCAAGGUAACUUCGUAGGAAGGUUUUAAGAACCAUGUCACAUAAAGAAUAUUGAAGAAACUUAGGCUGUGUAAAGCUAGAAAAAAGACUUGGUGGGGAGAACACAAGAGAUGCCACUCAUAUGAAAGAUACUUUAAAUUUACUCCAUGUAGUUUUUAAAGGGUUAAGUCCAAAGGGUAAACAUUAGAGGGAGACAGAUUUGGCUCUAAUAUAAGGAAUAGGUCUCUAACAAUUUGAACUCUUCAAAAAUGGAAUAGCUGGGGCCAGCCUGGUGGCACAGCAGUUAAAUUCGCACAUUCCAGCCCAGGGUUCGCCGGUUCGGAUCCCGGGUGUGAACAUGGCAUUGCUUGGCAGGCGAUGCUGUGGCAGGCAUCCCACAUAUAAAGUAGAGGAAGAUGGGCAUGGAUGUCAGCUCAGGGCCAGUCUUCCUCAGCGAAAAGAGGAGCAUUGGCAGCAGACGUUAGCUCAGGGCUAAUCUUCCUUUAAAUAAAUGAAACAGCCUUCUUGUGAAUUAGUGAGUUCCCUCCUAUUUGGACAUAUUCAAGCAGAUAAUGGAUGACUUUGUGCUAGAGAUGUUGAAGAGAGACUUUGACAUCAGGCAAGAUAAUUUCUACAUUCCCUUCCAACUCAUAGGAUUCUUAAGAUCCUCUAAUUUUAGGUUCAUGAGCUCAGUAAGAGUUAUGAUCGUUACAACAUUUCCAGAUGAUAUUGGACACCCAUUUCUUCAUAAUCAAUGAUUCAAAUACACUUUUUGAUUUAACACAAUGUAUACAAAAAUUGUUUUGAGUAAAUAAAAUCUCACACAACUAUAUUUUUCCAAAUUUCAGAGCUGUUUAAAGGUUUAGUUUCUUUCUGCACAUAUAUGUGAUGCCUAAUCCCAUUCAAAGAGCUAAAAACACAAAACCCUUACCAAAAUUAGACGUGCAAUGACCAAAUAAACUCAUCCACUGCUUACCUGAAGGUCAAGGAUAUGUGGCAAAGAAUACUAUUUAUAACAACCCAAUAUUACAAUCUGGUCUAUAAAAUAACCCAUCCUCACAAAGUUGAAAAAAUGAGUUUAAAAUAUGAAGCAGUGACAAGAUGUAUUAACUUGUGAAAAUGGUUCUUUAAUUUGUGCCUUUAAGUUGAUAGAAAAAAACUCAGUACUACAAUAGAUAAAUUAUAUAUCACUAUGUUUAUGUAGUAUUUGUGGCCAAGGUCUCUAAACAGAAAGUUAUCCAGGGGCCAGCCCCGUGGCAUAGUGGUUAAGUUCAGCAUUCUCUGCUUCAGCAGCCCAGGUUCACAGGUUCAGAUCCUACACGGAGACCUACACCACUUGUCAGGCAUGCUGUGGCAACAACCCACAUACAAAGUCGAGGCAGACUGGCACACAUUAGCUCAGGGCUAAUCUUCCUCAAGCGAAAAAAAACAGGAAGAUGGACAACAGAUGUUAACUCAGGGCUAAUCUUCCUCAGCAGAAAAAAAAAAUUAUCCAGUGGUGCCACGGGGAUCAAUAAUAGCAUCAAGAAUUAUUAGAUUCAGGACUGGCCUGGUGGCAUAGUGGUUAAGUUUGCACACUCUGCUUCAGUGGCCCGGGGUUCACAGGUUUGGAUCCUGGGUGCAGACCUACACACUGCUCAUCAAGUCAAGCUGUGGUGGCAUCCCGCAUACAAAAUAGAAGAGGACUGGCAACAGAUAUUAGUUCAGCGCCAAUCUUCCUCACCAAAAAAAAAAGAAGAGAGAGAGAGGAAUUAUUAGAUUCAGAUUUCAUAUUUUACUUGAAAAAAGAUAACAUUUGUUUUCAAAUUAAACUCUUAAAAUAAAGAAUAUUAUUCAACAUAUACCAGAGUUGAGGGAAAUUUUUGGAAAAAGGAGACAAAAACGUAUUGAGAAAGUCAACUUACUUUCCAGAGAACUCCACUAAUAUUAGAACCAAACAUUUUUAUUAGAUACUAACUUACUUGCUUUUUUGUACCUUAUGUCAUCUUCUCUAGUUUGUGUUGUUACAGUCCUGCAUAUGUUAAAUAAAAAAACAAACCAAUUAUAUAUUUUGCAUGAUCAAUACGUUACAACAUUAAGAUCAGACUAAUAAUACAAACGCACUCCACUUUUUUUUUAAACUCCCUGCAAUCGUACAGCAAGUCCUCAAGAACAUAAAAACGUGAACAAAAAGGCUUUAUAUUUAUCUUACAGAAGGUAUAAACAUCAGUUAUAAAGAGAUGCAAGCCUUAUUUAGUUAAAUAUAAUUAACAUGAUUACAAAAGCAUCUCUAAUAAAGCAGACAAAACAAUUACAUUGUUCAUAGUUCUACUCAGAGUUCACUGAACUGUUAAAAACAACUUCAAAAACAAUCAAAUGCAAAGGCAAAUCCCUACUACACAAAUAAAAUAAAUGCAAAGAAUGGUUAACCUUUGGAUAUUGACCAAGCAUUCGUUUUUCCCCAGUCUAAACAACCUUGUCUUAAUUCCUAUGGCAUACAGGACGGAUUAGAAAAGAAGAGGCUAAAAAUUAGCUGUUGCAGCGUUCCAGGAGUGUGGCAUAUGGGUGAUGCAGUAACAGUGGAAUUGAAGGGGGAAAGGCAGUCUUCCCCCCAAAACCUGCUCUUCCUGCAGUCUUCUUCAUCUCAGUCAAUGGCAGCUUCACCGGCUAAUUGUUCAGGCUAAAAACCUGGUACCUUGCUGGCACUCCUGUUGCACAUAUCCUUCAUCCAAAUCACCAGCUAAUACUAUCACAGUCUCCAGAAUCCAACCAUCCCCUCACCAUCUCCACCUCCCUGGCUAAGAUCUCCCAUCUCUCACCUGGAUUAUUGUAAAUGCUACUAACCAGUCUCCCUUUUUGCCUUUGCCCUCUGGAGUUUAUUCUCAACCGAGGAGCCAAAUUGAUCCUCUCCUCAAAGCUCUCUAGUGACUUCCUGCUUCAAUUCAAAAUAAAAGUCAACGCCCUCAUAAUAGUGUCCUGCAGAAACUGCUCCCCAUUAUCUCUUUCCCCCUCACUGCCUCAGCUCCAGCUGCACUGGCCACUUUGCUCUUUUAUGAACAGACCACUCCCACCUCCAGGGUUUUGCAAUUGCUCUUUCUUUUACCUGGAAGUUUCUUUAUUUAGAUACCACAUGGCUUGUUCCUUUCACCUCCUUCAGGUUUCUGCUUAACGUGCACUUCUCCACAAAUAAUUCCUGGACCACUCUAGUUAUAACUGCAAACCUUACACAUCCCAAUACUCCUCCAUCUCCCUUCUUGAAACCUGUUUUGUUUUUCUCUAUAGAAUUUAUCACUACCUAAUUCCCAUAAAUUUUACUUAUUUUGUUUGUCUGAUUGUCCUCACUAGAUGGUAAACUCAAUGAGAUUAGGGAUUUUGUCUGUUUUGUUCAAUGCUAUUUUUCCAUAGCUAGCACACAGCAGGUGUUUAAUAAACACUUGUUGAAAGAACGAAUAUCCACCAUUAAUCCUCUAGCGACCAGUGUUGAGAACUAGAUGCCUUACACCAUUUGGGGUGCUUCAUACCAGUGCUAAAGCAGAUGCAUACAUAGUUAGAUUUAUAUUAAUAUACUACUCGCAGAAAUUGAACAAGACAUGUACAGUAUGCAGAUAUAAAGCAAAGAGAAUAAUUUCCAUGUGCAAAAUAUAAAACUCCUAGAUUUCUGAACUGAGGUUUUCAAAGUCCAUUUCCUUCAUUUGAAAGACAAAAGUCUAGUGAGCUUAAAUCAUUUCUGAAGCUCAUCCAGACAUUAGCAAUAAAAUAUACUACAAGUCAGAUUACCUGGCUCUCAAUUCAGUGUUCUUUUCAUUCUAUCAUGGUACUCUUUAAACUUGAGCAUUCCUCUGACCAGGAACUGAAUCAUUCUAUAGCCUCUGAGUUGAAAUCACUACAUCACCAGGAAAUAAAAGUCUAACUCCCAAUAUUAUUCCUCAAUUAAGUCGUAGUGAGUAGAUGUUGCUGUAUUCUUUCAAUGAUAACUAGAAAUUAAAGGGAAAGAAACCAAUUUCACUAUUAAUUGUAAAUUUUGUGCCAUGAACAAAGGAAGCUGUCAUUUGCAUUACAGUAUUCUGGGUAUAAGCAUGGAUUCUGGUAUUCACACCUCCAGGUUCAAAUCCCAGUUUUGUCACUUAUUAGUGGAAAUCUUCUUAAUCUCUCUAAGCUCUGAUUUUCUCAUUUUUAAAAAGAGGGUAUCGGCCCUACUUAUGUCUUUGAGUUGUGAGAAUAAUGCACAGAAAGCACUGAGCACAUGGCCUAACACAUACAUAUUCAUAUUGACAGAUGGACUGUCAAUUGCAAUCAGACAUGAAUAGAAGUUAUAAUCAGAUACACCCCCUUCAAAUUUUAGAUGUUACUUUAUAUUUAUUAAACUAAUCUCCCAAAUUAGAAUGCUUGUUGAUUUGAACCUUAUAGCAAUUAAUUUUACCUAGUUCCUUAAGAAGUGAAAAAAUUAUAAAGCAUUUUAUAACUCAUGCAACAACUCAUAUCCAUUUAGCAAUUCAUAUUCAUGCAACAAUUCAAUAACAUUUAAAGCCAAAAACAGAUUAAACUCAACAUUAAAGCAUUUUGUAAUCUAUUUUGGCCAAAACAAUGCAUUUUCCCUCAUUCAUGUAGCCAUUACUCAGUGGGCCAGAACCCUGUUACAAAAAGCCUAUUAGUUAUCAUUACCUUCUUGGUGGUCCAAGGGCGCCCUCUGCCUGAACACUGAAAAACUCAAAGCUAAAUUAAAUACUUUUUAAAAACUGAUGCUUUCUCAAGUGAAUUCUUAAUCAGUAAUUCUAUGAAAUUAAUCCUCUCUUUAAUCACUGCUACAGAGUGUCAGAAAAAAACAAAUGUUAGUCAGAAAAAAACAAAUGUCGUGUCAUCUGUUACAAGAGCACCAGAAAGGUCAAGUUUACAUCCCUGUAAUUUACCUGGGAGUUUGGAAAGAAAAUCCAUGAUAUUUUCCCCAGAAUUUAUUCCAUAUCAUUCAAUAAAUUAUUGGCGUGAAUCACCUAAAUCAGUAUAUUGAUCUCUUUGUUUUGUCCACGUAAAACUCUACACUUUACUUAAUAUGCCAUUGUAGCACUUUGCCCAGUAAUGAGUAUCACCAACAUCAAAUAUUUAUUGGGUAUCUUCUGUGUACAGGACACUGCACUAGGUCAAAAGGAUGGAAAAAACCCAUUCUCUAUCCUCAAAGAAAUGAGGAUACUUUCUAAAAAUCGAUGCGCACAAAGAAAUCUAUGGUAAGAUGCCCACUGAAAAAGAUAGGCUUCUCCCAUUUGCUGCUUUCUGUGUCACCUUAGGAAAAUUAGCCGACUUAUCUAAACCUCAGUUUAUCUGUAAUACGGAGAUGAUACUCACCUCAAAGCAAAGUUGCAAAAGUUAACUGAGAUCUUUGCAAAGGGCUCAGCACUUCAUGUAGCUUGCCUGUUCUCUUGAAACAUCUAAAAUGUAAAAAAUAAUUCUAUCACAUUUUAUAGUCAUCUACAUUUCUAACACAAAGAACAGCCCAAGAACAAAAUCAUGAUCACCAAACGGAUCUUAGCAAUAUACAUAUAUAAUUUCAGAAAUAAGAACUUAUACAUCUCCUUAACACCACAAAGCACUUUUAAAUUCAUUUUGUGAAUUUUAACAAUUUCUCAGGGAAGCAAGCACAUGACAAAUAUUUUUUAUAUUCAAUUUGUGGGUGGGGAAACUUAUAAAUAGUAAAACUAAGCACAGUACAAAAUAUUUGCUAAGAAAGAGUAAUUAAAGCUAGCCUAAAGACUACAUGUAUUAUCUCCCCUAAUUCUCACACCAAACUAAGGUGGGGGUCAUUUUCUCCACUUAGAAAUGAGGAAACUAAGGCACAGAGCAGUUACGUAGCUUGACAAAGUCCCGCAACUGGCACACAGAAUAAUUAAAUCCAGGUCAUCUGAUUCCAGAGUCUGCGCUCUCAACCUCUAUAUAUACUUCCUACGGCUUAAGAUAAUAAUUUUCUUAAAUAUCCAUAAGUCUAUCUGACAUAAAUGGGGGGAAAGGAUAGCUCUUUUUUACCGAAGAAUUCCAAAUAAUAACUACAGAACAAAUGAGGAAAAUACUUAGCAUCAGGUAAACACCAAUUGUUUCAGGCAAGAACCAUCAAUGCCUUCUGGCUAAAAUUAGCAGGUGAAAUUACGAUGAGAAACAGGAUAUUUGUAACACAUCAAGGCAUCUCUCCAUAUAAUAUUUAUUAAUUACAAGGAGAAAAAUAGUAACUCUACAGUGGAGAAAGCAGCAGACACCACCUAAACCAAGUGAUCAAAGUUAACAUCACCACCAGAAAGGCAGAAUCAUUGAAAUUACUGAGUGCAGACAGAACCCUUCAUGCAAAUAAUUUUACUUUCCUGAGGAAGAUUAAGCCUCAGCUGACAUCUGUUGCCAAUUUGCUUAUUUUGCUUGAGGAAGAUUAGCCUUGAGCUAACAUCCAUGCCAAUCCUCCUCUGUUUUGUAUGUGGGUCACCACCACAGCAUGGCUGAUGAGUUGUGUAGGUCCAUAACUGGGAUCCGGGCCACCAAAGCAGAGCACGCUGAACUUAACCACUAGGCCGCAGGCCAGCCCUGCAAAUAAUUUUUACUUAGUGAUGUAAAACUUUUCAGUAGUUUUGCUACCACAAAGUUCAGUACUAAACCACCAACUGUGAUAAAAAUCUAACAAAUUCUGAGUUUGGUAGGCAAUAAACAUCUGAAAUCACUUGAAGCAUAUUUGUCCUAAGUUUUGUCUUUGUGAAAAUUGUAUGCUUUACAAAUUAUGGUGGAGCAGGCCAAAUCUUCCCAUUAAUGUUUCCAUUAUUGUAUAGUAAUGCAAGAUAAAGUUAUUAUGGAAAUUAUAUUUGGAAGCUAUAGUUUACAAAUACUGAAAUUGAUUCUAUUUUUAAAUUUUCUUAUCAAAGGGGAUUAAAUACAUCAUAAGUAAGCAAUAAGCUAAAAGAUCUGUCUACCUUUUGAUUUCAAAUAAUCAAAGCUGACAUUUAUUGAACAUUUACUAUGUGCCAUUUUUUCUGCAUUUCAUUUAAUUCUCACAAUUUCAUAAGGCAGAUUAUAUUAUCACCAUUUAUCAGAUGAGAAAUGGUUAGAGAGGCUAAGAACAUUGCACAAGGACUGACUGUCUGAUGCUAGCAAUACUGUCAUUCUUUCUCCAAAUAUUUUUUCAAUUGCUAACCAGUGGAAAAUCUAAUUAAUUUGAGUUUCACUGAAUUUCAUCUUUACUUUCCUCCCAUCCAGGGCUUGUUGGGGAAAUCUUAACACAUAGCAACAAGAAGAACGGUAGACAAUUAAUAAUCUAAGAUAACUAAGAGUUGGCCAUAUUGUUAUUAUAAUUAUACAGAAGCUUAUUUACAUAUUCUUUGUUUUAUAUCAAGUUUUGAGUUCUUAUAGAGGAAAAACAGGAUUUUGAUUAAAUAUAAAAUGGGUAGUUAAAUCACUAAAUAGGACACACUUUGUAGGAAGCUAAAGCACAUGUAAUUAUUCAGGUAAUCAUUACUGAUUAUUCCCUUGACAUACAUAUUUACAAGUCUAAACAAAAUGUACAACUGUAAAUACUGUAUUUUUUUAACGUCUUGUUUUCUAUCCUCAAAGCAGAUUUCUUAGACCCAGGGAAAAUAAAUUUUUCAAGUGCCUGCAUUAGAAAAUUUUACAACUGAUGUAAUCAUUCACAUUUGAAGAAUGUCAUGAUUUAUUUUUUAAAUUUGAAGUCUUAAUUAUUGAAAAUAUUUCUUGUUAAUACAGUUUAUUUGCACGUUAAGUAAAAAAACAUAAGUAGGGCACUUCAUAUUGCCCUCUGAAUUUGCUGUGUCUUGCCUAUAACAAAACAAGUCACUCUGGGUUUAUCCCAGAUGAGUCACAAAGCAAGAGUUUGGACUUUAUCAUUAGUUUCAGUUCUAUUUUUAGAGGUAUGGGGAUAGAAAGAAGUUCUUAAUCUGGAGAUAUUUCCAGACCAUCACAGCCUACUUUAAAUAUAUAACUAUUUUGUACAAAAUGUUUACAUUCCACAUCUUAUCAAUGUAUAAAAUAACACUGCCACUGACAUCAAUGGAAUUUCAUGGCAACGGAACGAGUUAGUAAGCCUUAUCAAAAUAGGCAUUUUCGCCCUCCUUUAAAAUUUAUAAUUGUCCAAGUAUAAAUAAUCAAAAGGAUGUAGUUUCUUUCCACAUACUACUUACAGAUUGACUACUGUCUAAAAAAGCACAAAGUUCACGGACAAAUUUUUCUCUCCUUGUUCUUUCUAAAACAGACAUAAAAUGGAACACAAUCUUAGACUAAAGUCCAAAUUAUAGGUAAGAAAACAAAAACGAAGUGACACAGGAGGGGGGAGGUGAAUUUUCAAAUAUUGGUUAACUUACAAGAUUCAUAAGUGUUUCAUUUCUCAUUAAGCAUUGGUUUGCUGUUUUCUGUAACAUAUGAACAUUUCAAAUUGAUUAAGAAUAGAAUUUUCAUAUAACAUUAGAUUUUUCUCAUUUGUAUCCAAAGAUUCUCAUUUUCAUUCUACUCUAACUUUUCUUUGAAAACAUAUCUCAAAAAUAGAAAAAAUGCCCAAUGCGAAGUUUUAGUUACUUGGUAGAAAAACUGAAAAGGAGAGAAAAUAAUUUUCGCAAUUUCAGAUGAAAAAAAAUCUAUAUAGCAAGUGGGUUUUGAUCGCUUAAAGAAUUUGAAAAUACACUGUAUAUAACAUUUUAUAAAGUAGUCUUAACAGCCAGAUUAAUGUUAGCGUGCUCUGGGUCUAGUUUUAACUGUAUACUUCUUACAACAUAAUGAAAGAACGACUGAUUUGGUAAUGAACUUGUUGAUUAAACUGACCCCAUCAAACACUACUCAUUAUUUUGGUGGAAAUAUUUACAAGCAAUUACAGUCACUGAUUUCUCGCAGUUGUUUCUUGUUAUCUUACUGACUUUACAACUCCCCAACGUAAAGGUGCGGAAAACUGUUUACCCUCCUUUUCGAGAAACAGUACGAGGGAGAGAAGACCUGCGGGGUAUAAACACAAAUACAGACAUUUAGAAGUGGAUGGCUUUAAGAUUCAUUUUGUUGCUAAGUUUUUGACGUUUCUUAAAUCAAACUUUGUAAAUUUUCCCUUAAAAUCCCCACGCUACUUUUGCUUUAGCCCGCCGGGCACGUGCUGCCUACCCACUGCAGACUCCCUUAACGCGGCUCCCGGCCGCAGUUGCAGCGUCGAGGUCCCCAGCACCGCGAGAGUCGGAGCCCGCGGAGUUCGAGCGCCCAGGACGCCGGGCCCGGAGUCGCUCCGGGCUCCGCAGGACCCGCGGGCUGCGAGGCUCGCCUGCCGACCCCAGCUCCAGGCCCUCGUGCGGAUCCGAGGGCUCCCCCAAAACAUCCCUAAAGGCAUUCCCUUUGUUCAGUCAUCCAUUCAACAAAUAUCUGUUCCAUUUCGGACGCCCCCUCAGUCUUGAGAAAACCAGUGCGGCCUCACUUUGCAGGGCACUGGCCUCCCUUGCGAACGACCCAACGAGGCCGAGGAAACCGACUCUCGGCCACCACUUAGCAAACACCGCGUAGGAUUUGCCAAAUGCCGUCCCUCCUAGUCCCGGGCGUCCGGCGGCAUUACGCCACCUCCCUUCCCUUCACCCUUCACUGCCACCCAAGAAAGCGUUCAUGGCCAACUGUGACCACGGCCACGCUCCGCGCUUCUCGCCUCGGAGCCAACCUGACGCCACGUUCUCCCCAAACCAGCGGGCGGGACUUCAGGGCCAGGCCGGGGCAUCCCGGACCAAGGGCUGGAGCAGUCCUAGAGUCCGGGCCUCAAACACGUCCAGGCUGGAGGCGGGUAGAGAAUCACGUCUGGGUGUGGCGGCCCAAAAUGUCUCAGCCCGACUUUGCCAUGGCGCCCCGAGGCUUGGUCCCCC
ensembl:lncRNA